rnacentral:rRNA from 1 species
UACGUAGGGUGCAAGCGUUGUCCGGAUUUAUUGGGUUUAAAGGGUGCGUAGGCGGGUUAUUAAGUCAGUGGUGAAAGCCUACAGCUUAACUGUAGAAUUGCCAUUGAUACUGAUGAUCUUGAGUAUGAUUGAGGUGGGCGGAAUGUGUCAUGUAGCGGUGAAAUGCUUAGAUAUGACACAGAACACCGAUUGCGAAGGCAGCUCACUAAGUCAUAACUGACGCUGAUGCACGAAAGCGUGGGGAGCAAACAGG